AAAAUAAGCCGCGGGCAAAGCCGCGCCCAAAAAUAAGCGCCCGAAGGUCGUGGUGCCAAAACCCCCCAGCGGAAAAAUGGCCAAAAAACGGGUGGGCUAUAGCCUUGGUGGGGGGCGCGCGCGAAGUUCGUCCGCCGGACUCGGAAUGGGGCGAGACUUUGCGAGGGGCCUCGGGGUGCCAAAAAUAAGCCGCGGGCAAAGCCGCGCCCAAAAAUA
rnacentral:lncRNA from 1 species